rnacentral:rRNA from 1 species
AAAACAUGGCCUUUAGAAUCAAUAAUUAUAGGUCUGGCCUGCCCAGUGAUAAACUUAAACGGCCGCAGUAUUUUGACUGUGCGAAGGUAGCAUAAUCAUUUGUCUUUUAAUUGAAGGCUAGUAUGAAAGGUUGGACGAAAAAUAGACUUUCUUUAUUUAAAUUUUAUGAAUUUUAUUUUUGAGUUAAAAAGCUUAAAUUUUACUGCAAGACGAGAAGACCCUAUAGAAUUUUAUUAUAUUGGUUAAAUUUAUUGUUUGGUGAAUAAGUUGAUAGAUUUAAUUAAUUUAAUUUUGUUGGGGCGACAGUGAAAAUUGAUUAACUUUCAUUUUUUAUUAUUCAUUAAUUAAUGUUUAUUUUUGAUCCUUUAUUAUGGAUUAGGAGAUUAAAUUACCUUAGGGAUAACAGCGUAAUUUUUCCGGAGAGUUCUUAUCGAUGGAUAAAGUUUGCGACCUCGAUGUUGGAUUAAAAUUAGUUUUAGGU